rnacentral:rRNA from 1 species
UACGUAGGGGGCAAGCGUUAUCCGGAUUUACUGGGUGUAAAGGGAGCGUAGACGGCUGCGCAAGUCUGAAGUGAAAGGCAUGGGCUCAACCUGUGGACUGCUUUGGAAACUGUGCAGCUAGAGUGUCGGAGAGGUAAGUGGAAUUCCUAGUGUAGCGGUGAAAUGCGUAGAUAUUAGGAGGAACACCAGUGGCGAAGGCGGCUUACUGGACGAUGACUGACGUUGAGGCUCGAAAGCGUGGGGAGCAAACAGG